rnacentral:lncRNA from 1 species
GCGCCAUGGCGAGUGAGACGGAGACCUUCGCAUUUCAGGCUGAGAUCAACCAGCUGCUCUCACUCAUCAUCAACACCUUCUACUCCAACAAGGAGAUCUUCCUCCGCGAGCUUAUCUCCAACUCUUCCGAUGUAAGUGACCCCGUUUAAGUCGAAAUCUAGACGCAUUUCAGUGCGCUAUUAGUGAUAUAGGUUGGAUGCCUUACUGUUUGGGCGACGACUUGUGCUAUGGUGCGAUUACACGUUGCGAGAUGUCCAAUCUCUUCGGCAUACAUCCGAAUCUGUGCAGCUCGCGCUUUCUGUGGGGUUAAUGCUGUGUCUGACUUCUGAUUUUUUUUUGCGCUCCUGAUUUUGUGUUUUGGCUCGGUGCUGUUUAUUUUGCACGAUUUUUGCAGGCGCUGGACAAGAUCAGGUUCGAGAGUCUCACUGACAAGAGCAAGCUCGAUGCGCAGCCUGAGCUUUUCAUCCACCUUGUCCCAGACAAGGCCACGAACACGCUCUCCAUCAUCGACAGCGGCAUCGGCAUGACCAAGUCCGACCUUGUCAACAACCUCGGUACCAUCGCCAGGUCCGGGACGAAGGAGUUCAUGGAAGCUCUUGCUGCCGGCGCUGAUGUGUCCAUGAUUGGCCAGUUCGGCGUCGGUUUCUACUCUGCCUACCUCGUCGCCGAUAGAGUUGUCGUGACCACCAAGCACAACGAUGACGAGCAGUACGUGUGGGAGUCCCAAGCGGGCGGGUCGUUCACUGUUACUCGUGACACGUCAGGGGAGCAGCUUGGCAGGGGCACUAAGAUCACACUGUUCCUUAAGGACGAUCAGGUAUGCUGCAAGCUGCUUCAAUCAAAGAUCGUUAUUAUGUUUUUUGUUGCAAUGCAUAAUGUAAUCGUGUUCUAGUGGCACAAGCCAAGUGUGCCUGUGUUUUGUCUAGCUGUCCUUGUCCUUUAACUAGUGACUGUUCUGUUUUGAUUCUAGAAUAGAUAGAUCACUGUUAUGCCUGAUGUCAUCUACGAGUCCUAAGAUGGUAAAGCUUAUGAGAAAUAUAGGCUUGUGCUAAUUUUGGCUUAUGGAUGCAAACACCAAUAGUUUUGGGUCAUCAAGUUGUCCCACAAUUUGCUAAAAUGAAUAAUAAUGGCACCACCUCAUUAAAUUUUAGGGAGAGGAUUCACUUAAAUGGUGCGCUAGUAUUAUUAGUUACUGAUCCAAAGUAAGCCAUGGGUAGAACACUUGCAUCCCCAUGUAGAGUAUUUCACAAGUGUUAUUUGCUAUAGCUUACUUGGCUUAUCUACAUUUACCUUGAUAUUCCAUCAUAUACACAUUUGUGGAACAGCUCAACAUGAUCUUUUGCAAAUUGUGAUCUUAAUUACAAGCCAACCUUUUUAUCAGGGAGAUGUUGCACUGCAAAUUAGCACUUGCAUACUUAAUGAAGCAUCCAAGUUUGUUAAAUAACUGUGUUACAUAAUCUAGUCAGUUGUUCAAAUAAUGUGUUUAUCAUUUUGAAGUGAACAUGCAAUUGUUUUGUGCUGUGGGAGUAGGUGGCACAUAUUUUGGGAUACAUUGAUUUUUAUAUAUGCUUGCUUUGCUGCAUCCAUUAAAUGUGCAAAAUGUUCUUUAUAAUGUCCUGUAAAGAAAAUAAAUUGGUUAAAUAUAGAGCCUUUAAGCUAACGGUACAAACUACAUGAACUUAUUCUCUUGUCAUCAAUUGCCUCCUUGGUUAUUUAGAAAUGUAUUUAGAUUAUUCUGUAUUGAAUUGUUUUUUCUGUGGGAGCUGCUGGUGUUACUUGUAAUCACAUUUCAACUUCUCUCUUGCAGCUGGAGUACCUUGAGGAGCGUCGCCUCAAGGAUCUGGUCAAGAAGCACUCUGAGUUCAUCAGCUACCCCAUCUCCCUGUGGACUGAAAAGACAACAGAGAAGGAAAUUUCUGACGACGAAGACGAGGAAGAGAAGAAAGAUGCUGAGGAAGGAAAGGUUGAGGAUGUUGAUGAGAAGGAAGAGAAAGAAAAGAAGAAAAAGAAGAUCAAGGAGGUUUCUCAUGAGUGGUCAUUGGUCAACAAGCAGAAGCCCAUAUGGAUGAGGAAGCCAGAAGAAAUCACAAAAGAAGAAUAUGCUGCCUUCUAUAAGAGCUUGACAAAUGACUGGGAGGAGCAUCUGGCUGUGAAGCACUUCUCUGUGGAGGGUCAACUGGAGUUCAAGGCUGUUCUCUUUGUUCCUAAGAGGGCCCCCUUUGAUCUCUUUGACACCAAGAAGAAGCAAAACAACAUCAAGCUCUAUGUGCGCAGGGUGUUCAUCAUGGACAACUGCGAAGAGCUGAUCCCUGAGUGGCUGAGCUUCGUUAAGGGUAUUGUUGACUCUGAGGACCUUCCCCUCAAUAUCUCUCGUGAGACUCUUCAGCAGAACAAGAUCCUGAAGGUGAUCAGGAAGAACCUUGUGAAGAAGUGUGUUGAGCUCUUCUUUGAGAUUGCUGAGAACAAGGAGGACUACAACAAGUUUUACGAGGCUUUCUCCAAGAACCUCAAGCUUGGCAUCCACGAGGACUCGCAGAACAGGACCAAGAUCGCCG